AACGAACGCUGGCGGCAUGCCUAACACAUGCAAGUCGAACGAGACCUUCGGGUCUAGUGGCGCACGGGUGCGUAACGCGUGGGAACCUGCCCUUAGGUUCGGAAUAACUCCCCGAAAGGGGUGCUAAUACCGGAUAAUGUCUUCGGACCAAAGAUUUAUCGCCUUUGGAUGGGCCCGCGUUGGAUUAGCUAGUUGGUAGGGUAAAAGCCUACCAAGGCGACGAUCCAUAGCUGGUCUGAGAGGAGGAUCAGCCACACUGGGACUGAGACACGGCCCAGACUCCUACGGGAGGCAGCAGUGGGGAAUAUUGGACAAUGGGCGAAAGCCUGAUCCAGCAAUGCCGCGUGAGUGAUGAAGGCCUUAGGGUUGUAAAGCUCCUUUACCCGGGAUGAUAAUGACAGUACCGGGAGAAUAAGCUCCGGCUAACUCCGUG
rnacentral:rRNA from 1 species